ACCGGCCAUGUUUCACAUUUCUAUCAACUUGAUUGUAAAACUGCAAGUAUGCUGCAUUAUCAAAAGAAGAGUGGGAAGAACAAUUCGCAAGUAUAAACUGCAAGUAUGCUGCAUUACUUGGAGAUUAUAGUUUUAUUCUGAAGCAUAAACAACGCAGGUUGUUAAAGUGAAAUCAGCCAUCUCAAGGUCUGUUAGCAAGAAGAAAUAGGUGUCAAGUGCUGGGUAUGGUCACAAUCUGAACUGUUCAAAGGUGCAAUCAUCCAUCUUUGGGGCUUCUAUCUCAACCUGGUCGUCUUUACAUUUCAGCAUAUGCAGUGAAAAAUUAUAUGCAAACUCUGAAGGCAAGUGAUUGGCAUCUUGAAGGAGCUAGGAGCAUUUAAUAUAUUCUACAGCAAAGCCACGGGAGGAGAAGAAAAAACAAAUGUCCAAGCUCUAGAGUACAUUGUAAAUUAUUUUGCUAGUUAGCUUCAAUAGUUAGGUCUCAUGGAAUAAUUAAUGACUAUUGUAGAUGUAUUUUGAUGGCUGUAAUGGCAUUGGAGUUUUC